rnacentral:rRNA from 1 species
GACGAACGCUGGCGGCGUGCUUAACACAUGCAAGUCGAACGGUAAGGCCCUUCGGGGUACACGAGUGGCGAACGGGUGAGUAACACGUGGGUGAUCUGCUCUGCACUUCGGGAUAAGCCUGGGAAACUGGGUCUAAUACCGGAUAGGACCCUGGGAUGCAUGUCCUGGGGUGGAAAGCUUUUGCGGUGUGGGAUGGGCCCGCGGCCUAUCAGCUUGUUGGUGGGGGGAUGGCCUACCAAGGCGACGACGGGUAGCCGGCCUGAGAGGGUGACCGGCCACACUGGGACUGGGAUACGGCCCAGACUCCUACGGGAAGCAGCAGUGGGGAAUAUUGCACAAUGGGCGCAAGCCUGAUGCAGCGACGCCGCGUGAGGGAUGACGGCCUUCGGGUUGUAAACCUCUUUCAGCACCGACGAAGCGCAAGUGACGGUAGGUGCAGAAGAAAGACCGGCCAACUACGUGCCAGCCGCCGCAGUAA